AGCGGAAAGAAGGGGAGCUUGCUUCCUGAGGUUAGCGGCGGAGGGGUGAGUAACACGUGGGUAACCUGCCUGUAAGAGUGGGAGAACUCCGGGAAACCGGGGCUAAUACCGGAGGGUUGUUUGAACCGCAUGGUUCAAACAUAAAAGGUGGCUUCGGCUACCACUUACAGAUGGACCCGCGGCGCAUUAGCUAGUUGGUGAGGUAACGGCUCACCAAGGCAACGAUGCGUAGCCGACCUGAGAGGGUGAUCGGCCACACUGGGACUGAGACACGGCCCAGACUCCUACGGGAGGCAGCAGUAGGGAAUCUUCCGCAAUGGACGAAAGUCUGACGGAGCAACGCCGCGUGAGUGAUGAAGGUUUUCGGAUCGUAAAGCUCUGUUGUUAGGGAAGAACAAGUACCGUUCGAAUAGGGCGGUACCUUGACGGUACCUAACCAGAAAAGCCACGGCUAACUACGUGCCAGCAGCCGCGGUAAUACGUAGGUGGCAAGCGUUUGUCCGGAAAUUAUUGGGCGUAAAGGGCUCGCAGGCGGUUUCUUAAGUCUGAUGUGAAAGCCCCCGGCUCAACCGGGGAGGGUCAUUGGAAACUGGGGAACUUGAGUGCAGAAGAGAGAGU
rnacentral:rRNA from 1 species